UACAGAGGAUGCAAGCGUUAUCCGGAAUGAUUGGGCGUAAAGCGUCUGUAGGUGGCUUUUUAAGUCCGCCGUCAAAUCCCAGGGCUCAACUCUGGACAGGCGGUGGAAACUACCAAGCUGGAGUACGGUAGGGGCAGAGGGAAUUUCCGGUGGAGCGGUGAAAUGCGUAGAGAUCGUAAGGAAGACCAGUGGCGAAGGCGGGUCUCUGGACAGUUCCUGACACUGAGGCACGAAGGCCAGGGGAGCAAACGGG
rnacentral:rRNA from 1 species